CACGAAUCCGUGUUAGAAAGAAGCUGUGAAAACCCAACAUGAACAACGUAAAACCCCGACUUUUACCUGAAUCCGACGGAACCGCCUGACAAACCACCACAGCAGACAGAAGGAACCUGCAGGUUUCACAGCAGGUUCUCAUCAAGCUGGUCUCGCUCUGUUUUCGAGCUAGUUAUGAUGCAGACACAUUUGAGCCGCUCGUCUCCAGGCGUACGAGACCUGCCGACCCCCAACCCAGAUGUUCAGCCAUUUCUGAGACCCCCCUCCCCAAUGGUGGAACCCAACCUGCGUUCCGGAGCCAAUUUGGGCUGGUUACUGUCAGCGCUCGAGGUGUCCCACGGUUCUUGAACAGAAGCCGCAGUGAGAUAUAGGCUGAGGCGGCUCACAUCCAUCAACUCUCCUCUCACUGACUGUUCUUAAAAUUAUCAAAAAUUCAUGCUACUCACUGUCUUCGUCCAAACUUUGUCAUCAGUAGACCACUUAAUGCACCUAUAACUUAAAAUGACUCCAUCUGCACGUUGUUAAAUUCAGCUAUGCCAUGUGUUUGAGAAUACGAAUGCGUUUCUACCAUAAAUAUUCAUAACAUAAAGCACAGAAUUAUUGGUUUCCUCAACUGAUGGGUACUUCAAAUGUUUGCAAGCUGCAAAGCGUGAUAUUUUGUUCUGAAUGAUCAAUGCUCACGCGCCUGCAAGAAAAUAUAAUGAGAAUAAACUUGAAUAUGUGUGAUGGACAGUCUAAACAGCCAAUGAGGAAUGAGAAUUGUCAUGUGCUGACCAAUCAAGAGCGAGUACAUAUUUUGUCACCAAAGCAUCCGUUUAUCAUCUUAAAGGGAUACUCCACCCCAAAAAUCCCUUACUCCCAUAUCGUUCCAAACCCAUAAAGGCUUCAUUCGUCAUUGAAACACAAUUUAAGUUAUUUUGGAUGAAAACCGGGAGGCUUGUGACUGUCCCAUAGACUGCCUGAAGUAAAUUACUCUGUAAAAGUCCAGAAAAGUAUAAAAAGCAUCGUCAGAAUAGUCCAUCUGCCAUCAGUGGUUCAACCAUAACAUUAUGAAACGGAGACAAUACUUUUUAUACGCGGAGGAAACAAAAAUAGCCACUUUGUUUGACAAUUCGUCUCCUGUGUCUCUCCGCAUCACUGUAAGGACAUUUGGGAGAAUAUGAGCUGAACGCAAGAAUUGCUGGACAGUCAAAAGCCUCUGUUUUCAUCCAAAAUAUCUUCAAUUGUGUUCGGAAGACGAAUGAAGCUUUUAUGGGUUUGGAACGACAUGGGGGUGAGUGAUUAAUGACUAAAAUUUCAUUUUGGGUAGGAGUGCGCCUUUAAAAAUAUCGCCCAUCCAAACAAGGAAAUGUUUUUCAUAAGCACCAAGGUUUUCCAUUUCUUUUUAAGGCGUUUCUCCAGUCAUCCGAGAGAGUUCAUGAUGUGUGGUCUACUGUAUGUUUGUAGGGAGACCCUGUGUUGAACCCAUUCGGACCACAUGAAGCUCAUAAUGGGCGCUGGAAUUGCCUCCUUGAAUGUGUGAAUUGGGGUGAAACUGUCGAGGUAGAAAUGGUUUUGUAAGCAGCUGACAAAUGAUCCAGAAAUGGUUAUGUGAAUUCAUAACUGGCUAAAAAGGCCACAAGAUUGCAGGUCACAUGACUGUAGGAAAAUUAGUCGUAUCUUGCGUCAUAUUUUGUUUGUUUGGCGAGUAAAAAACACAUAUUUUUGGAAAUCCUUCAUGCUUUUUAAUUAUGUUAUUCACAUUGUCAUUGUAUAAAUGGUUUAUUUAUUAAAUACUUUUAGCCAGAUGCCAGUAAACGAUGCAUGCGCACUGGAGAGUGCUUGAAACCUUUAUAAAACUUUGACUGGCUUCCA